CGGUAAAGGUAAAGAGAAGUUUAAAGGAACAAACAUUAGAGAGCGUUUUGUCAAUUAAAGUGACUGCUACAGUUACCGAAAUAAGAAAAGGAAUAAUGACUUUAUUAAAAUACGCACUCGACAGAUCAAAUGGUCGUGAUCGGCGCGUAAAAGGCAAUUCACCCGAUGUAUAACAUUCAUACUUUUUCCUAGUUGUUCUGGAACUAUUG